AGAAUCAACGCUGGCGGCGUGCCUAACACAUGCAAGUCGAACGAGAAAGUGGAGCAAUCCAUGAGUAAAGUGGCGACCGGGUGAGUAACACGUGACUAACCUACCUUCGAGUGGGGGAUAACAUCGGGAAACCGAUGCUAAUACCGCAUAACAUCGCAAGAUCAAAGCAGCAAUGCGCUGGAAGAGGAGGUCGCGGCUGAUUAGCUAGUUGGCGGGGUAACGGCCCACCAAGGCGAAGAUCGGUAGCCGGCCUGAGAGGGCGCACGGCCACACUGGAACUGAAAUACGGUCCAGACUCCUACGGGAGGCAGCAGUGGGGAAUUUUGCGCAAUGGGGGAAACCCUGACGCAGCAACGCCGCGUGGAGGAUGAAGCCCCUUGGGGUGUAAACUCCUUUCGACCAAGACGAUAAUGACGGUACUGGUGGAAGAAGCACCGGCUAACUCUGUGCCAGCAGCCGC
rnacentral:rRNA from 1 species